rnacentral:rRNA from 1 species
AGUUGAAACAUAUAUACAUACUCAAUAUUUGCUAAUAUUAAUGAUAAAACAUUUUUAAAUUUAGUAAAAGUGAUUAAAAUUUAAUAAAAUUAUGUGUAAUAUAUAAGUACUGAGAAGGAAAAGAUGAAAUUAAAAUAAAGAAAGAAGUAAAUUUUGUACCUUUUGUAUCAUGGUCUAACUAGAUUUAAAUUUUAUAUAAAAUUUCUCGAAAUCUAAUGAGCUAUCCUUUGGUCGUCAUUUUUUAGAAACUAAGAAUUGAUUGUGGCAAAAAUCUUUUUAGAACCCAGGAUAGAAAUGAAAUUUUAUUCGAAUUAGAUGAUAGCUAGUUCUUCAAUAAAUACAUAGAAGUGUUUAAACCUAAUUUUUUUUGAUAAUUAUAAAUUAUCAAAUAAAGUUUAGUUUUGUUAAAUCUUCGAGGAUAAGCUCGAAGAUAGAUUUUAAUGUCGACAUACCUCUUCAAAUUGAAAUUUAGGCUUGAAAAUAGCUAAUAUUCACGAGUUUGUUACAAUUUAUUAGAUUCCUAAGAAUAAGAUACAUUUGUUUUUAACUUAUUGAAGAUAACUUUUAAACUAUAAAAUAAACUAUAUUUAUGUUAGAAUGAGUAUUUACAAUCUUAUAUGAACUAAAUAAUAAUGUAUUACUAGAGUUAAAUCUUUAAUGUUAAGUUAUUAAAUCAUGAAAAGGAACUCGGCAAAAAUAUAUUCCGCCUGUUUAUCAAAAACAUCGCUCUCCGCCUAUCAAAAAUGGGGAGUCGGACCUGCCCGGUGAAAUUUUUUAACGGCCGCGGUACUCUGACCGUGCAAAGGUAGCAUAAUCAUUUGCCUUAUAAUUGAAGGCUAGUAUGAAUGGUUUGACGAGAAUAUUCCUGUCUCUUCAUGAUUUUUAAGAAAUUUAUCUUUAGGUGAAGAAGCCUGAAUAAUAUUAAAAGACAAGAAGACCCUAUCGAGCUUAAAAUAAAUUAGUAGAUUUACCUUAUAUAUUAAUAAAAAAUUAGCUGCUAAACAUUUUGGUUGGGGCGACUGAGGAACAGAAAAAGCUUCCUGUUAUUUGAAAAAUAUACAAAUACUGAUCCAGAAUUUUGCUGAUUAACGAAAUUAGUUACCGUAGGGAUAACAGCAUUAUCUUUUUUGAGAGCUCUAAUCGAAAAAAAGGUUUGUGACCUCGAUGUUGGACCAGAAUAUCCCGAAGAUGCAGCAGUCUUCAAAGGUUGGUCUGUUCGACCAUUAAAAUUCUACGUGAUCUGAGUUCAGACCGGCGUGAGCCAGGUCAGUUUCUAUCUUUAAUUCCUAAAAUAGACUUAGUACGAAAGGACCAGUCCAUUAUAAUAUUAUUAUACAAUAGGACAAAAUAUAAUAUAAAAUUUAAUUA